GAAUUUAGGGUGAACUGAGGUGGAUUGGGGCGAUUUGGGGUGGAUUGGAGGGAAUUGGGGUGGAUUUGGGGUGGAUUGAGUUGAAUUGGGGCAAUUUGGUGUGAAUCGGAGGGAACUGGGGUGGGUUGGGGCGAUUUGGGUGAACUGAGGGGAUUUGGGGUGAAUUGGGGUGGAUUGGGGCGAUUUGGGGUGAAUUGGGGUGGAUUUGGGGGUGGAUUGAGUUGGACUGGGGCAAUUUGAGGUGAAUCGGAGGGAAUUGGGGUGGGUUGGGGCGAUUUGGGGUGGAUUGGGGUGGCUUUGGUGUGGGUCGCAGGGCCAUUCCAGCAUUACCUGCAGCAGCUCAGCGUCCCCCCCCAGCACGGCGCUGAGCUCCGCUGCCAUCUGCGGCCCCAUGGCGCUCGGGAUGUGGGGCAGCCCCACACUGCCGACCCCACAGAUGGGCUCUGCCCCACAGGGGGGCUCUGCCCUACACACGGGCUGUGCAUUGGCUGCCCGUUCCACCUCUGUGCCCCCAUCGCUGUCGCUGUGGGGCUCCGCGAGUGGGGGCUGAGGGUCGCUGUGGGGCUGAAGGUCGUUGUGGGGCUGAGAGCUGAUGUGGGGCUGAGAGUUGCUGUGGGGCUGAAGGUCGUUGUGGGGCUGACAGCUGAUGUGGGGCUGAAGGUUGCUGUGGGGCUGAAGGUCGUUGUGGGGCUGAGAGCUGAUGUGGGGCUGAAGGUCGCCAGGGGGCUGAGGGUCGAUGUGGAGCUGAGGGUUGUUGUGGGGCUGAAGGUCGCUGUGGGGCUGAAGGUCACCAUAGGGCUGAGGGUCGCUGUGGGGCUGAAGGUCGUUGUGGGGCUGAGGAUUGGUGUGGGGCUGAGAGCCGCUGUGGGGCUGAGGGCUGAUGUGGGGCUGAGGGUCACCGUGGGGCUGAAGGUCACUGUGGGGCUGAGGGUUGGUAUGGGGCUGAAGGUUGCCAUGGGACUGAGGGUCGUUGUGGGGCUGAGGGCUGAUGUGGGGCUGAAGGUCGCUAUGGAGCUGAAGGUUGGUAUGGGGCUGAAGGUUGCCAUGGGGCUGAGGGUCACUGUGGGGCUGAGGGUCACCAUGGGGCUGAAGGUCACUGUGGGGCUGAGGGUUGCUGUGGGGCUGAGGGUUGCUGUGGGGCUGAGGGCUGAUGUGGGGCUGAGGGUCGCUAUGGGGCUGAGGGUUGCCGUGGGGCUGAAGGUCACCGUGGGGCUGAGGGCUGAUGUGGGGCCGAGGAUCCCCGGCUGCGGGCUGUUUGCCCCGGUGCCACUCAGUGCCACCACCCCGCCCCGCUCAGCCCCCCGCUGCCCCCCGCCCCACACAGGGCCGCGUCCCACGGCCCCUCCUACCUGCGCCAGCGGGGCCUCCGUGGGGCUGCGACACCGAGCCGACGCCGAGCCGACGCCGCCAGAGCUGUGGGGCGCCGGCACCCGUUUGUGUCACCGGCACCCGUUUGUGUCACCGGCGCCCGUUUGUGUCACCGGCGCCCGUUUGUGUCACCGGCGCCCGUUUCUGCCCCCCGUUCCCCCCCGGCCCCCAUUACCUCUCUGUGCCGGCGCUGCGUGCGGCGUCCGCCCCUCCGCCAUCGUGCA
rnacentral:lncRNA from 1 species